UGCUGAGAAAUAUAAGAACGCCAGGUGCGUUCAGUCACUGAAAGGGGGAGCUUGUGGAGAGGUCUUUGGGAAACAGUAGACCCUGUGUAGCUACCUCUUCAGUGAGUCCAAGUCUCUGGUGGCGGGCCUGGGGCCAUCGUGGUCAGCAGGCCCAGAAUUGGGGAAGAGGUGGGGUAGAGGAAAGCAAGGACAAGCUGGAGCCCGCCAAGCACCUCUGCAUCUGUCUGUCACCAAAUUUCCCCUUCAGGGAACAAUGGCUGUUCCUUCACUUCCACCUCCCCAUUCUCAUCCCAGUUCCUCUGUGGGCCAGAUCCCGCUACGUAAGGAGGGAGCUUCUGACAAAUACAGGUCCUGCUUAACCAAGUGGAAAAUAAAACUUGGACCAACACAAGCAACAAGACAGAAGCAGCUCAGGCCCUGCCACCAAGGAGCAACCAUACCAGACCCAGACUCUGCUCACACGUGGACACUUGGGCAAGAGAAAAAUAAUUUCUACCUUGCUUAAGCUACUGCAAGUCUGGAUCUCGGUUUCUUCAGCUGAAUGCAUAUCCCAACUAAAACACCAUCCACAUUUCCACUUGUAAUUGUCAAGUUAAAUUUCCAGUCCCUCCAGGUUAUAGAUCUGCUACUUGCCUUUCAUUCUCUGGCAGCUUCUGGGCUUCCCAUUCUGGUGGGCAGUCCCACACCCACAGCCAGUGAUAGACCAAGCCUUGCUACUGCUCACUCUCAAGGGCUGCCGCAGCCCUCACCUAGGUCUUUCUUCCAGGCAGAAGAGAAACUGCCGCCGCUUGUGCCUUCCCUCAGGGUGCUGUCCUCAUCUGCGUGGUCAAGGCUGGGUUCCUGCCAUGUCUGCGUUCACAUCUCCGCAGGAAUGAGGAAAGGAAGCAGAGGAAGGACGCUUUCCUUUGAAAUAAGGAUGCCGAAGCCCAAGGAGGGGCAGUGAAGUGGAGGCAGCCUUCCAAGAACCCCCUCAAAGGAUCCCCUCAUGUCAUAAAACUAGGAAAGACUUUCCUCAGCCAGACACGGUGGCUCACGUCUAUAAUUCCAGCAUUUUGGGAGACCAAGACAAGAGGAUUGCUUGAGCUCAGGAGUUCAAGACCAGCUUGAGCAACAUAGUGAGACCCUGUUUCUACAGAAGAUUUCUUCUUUUCUCUUCUUUUUUUAAAAAAAAUUUCCAACACUUAUUUUAAGUUCGGGGAUACAUGUGCAGCAUGUGCAGAUUUGUUACGUAGGCAAACGUGUGCCACGGUGGUUUGCUGCACAGAUCAUCCCAUCACUCAUGUAUUAAGUCCAACAUCCAUUAGCUAUUCUUCCCGAUGCUCUCCCUUCUCCCACCUCCUACUCUCCGACAGGUCCUAGUGUGUGCUGUUGCCCCCCCGCCACAUGUCUAUGUGUUAACAUAAUUCAGUUCCCACCUGUAAGUGAGAACAUGCAGUAUUUGGUUUGCUGUUUCUGCAUUAGUUUGCUGAGGAUAAUGGCUUUGAGUUCCAUCCAUGUCCUUGCAAAAGACAUGAUUUUAUUUUUUAUUUAUUUAUUUAUUUUUGAGAUGGAAUCUCACUUUUCGCCUAGGCUGGAGUGCAGUGGCACGAUCUCAGCUCACUGCAACCUCUGCCUCCCAGGUUGAAGUGAUUCUCCUGCCUCAGCCUCCCGAGUAGCUGGGAUUAUAGGAGCCUGCCAUUACACCCAGCUAAUUUCCCAUAUUUUUGGUAGUGACAGGGUUUCACCAUAUUGGCUAGGCUGGUCUCAAACUCCUGACCUUGUGAUUUGCCUGCCUUGGCCUCCUGAAGUGCUGGGAGUACAGGCAUGAGCCACCAUGCCCAGCUGAUCUCAUUCUUUUUUAUGGCUGCAUAGUAUUCCAUGGCUCUACAAAAUUAUUUCUUAAAAAUUAGCUGGGUGUGGUGGCACACACCUGUAGUUCUAGUUACUUGGGAGGCUGAGGCAGCAG
ensembl:lincRNA